AGAGUUUGAUCCUGGCUCAGGACGAACGCUGGCGGCGCGCCUAACACAUGCAAGUCGAACGAGAGAGAGGGAGCUUGCUUCCUCAAUCGAGUGGCGAACGGGUGAGUAACGCGUGAGGAACCUGCCUCAAAGAGGGGGACAACAGUUGGAAACGACUGCUAAUACCGCAUAAGCCCACAGCUCGGCAUCGAGCAGAGGGAAAAGGAGCAAUCCGCUUUGAGAUGGCCUCGCGUCCGAUUAGCUGGUUGGUGAGGUAACGGCCCACCAAGGCGACGAUCGGUAGCCGGACUGAGAGGUUGAACGGCCACAUUGGGACUGAGACACGGCCCAGACUCCUACGGGAGGCAGCAGUGGGGAAUAUUGCACAAUGGGGGAAACCCUGAUGCAGCGACGCCGCGUGGAGGAAGAAGGUCUUCGGAUUGUAAACUCCUGUUGUUGAGGAAGAUAAUGACGGUACUCAACAAGGAAGUGACGGCUAACUACGUGCCAGCAGCCGCGGUAAAACGUAGGUCACAAGCGUUGUCCGGAAUUACUGGGUGUAAAGGGAGCACAGGCGGGAAGACAAGUUGGAAGUGAAAUCUAUGGGCUCAACCAUAAACUGCUUUCAAAACUGUUUUUCUUGAGUAGUGCAGAGGUAGGCGGAAUUCCCGGUGUAGCGGUGGAAUGCGUAGAUAUCGGGAGGAACACCAGUGGCGAAGGCGGCCUACUGGGCACCAACUGACGCUGAGGCUCGAAAGUGUGGGUAGCAAACAGGAUUAGAUACCCUGGUAGUCCACACCGUAAACGAUGAUUACUAGGUGUUGGAGGAUUGACCCCUUCAGUGCCGCAGUUAACACAAUAAGUAAUCCACCUGGGGAGUACGACCGCAAGGUUGAAACUCAAAGGAAUUGACGGGGGCCCGCACAAGCAGUGGAGUAUGUGGUUUAAUUCGACGCAACGCGAAGAACCUUACCAAGUCUUGACAUCCUGCGACGGACAUAGAAAUAUGUGUUUCCUUCGGGACGCAGAGACAGGUGGUGCAUGGUUGUCGUCAGCUCGUGUCGUGAGAUGUUGGGUUAAGUCCCGCAACGAGCGCAACCCUUACUGUCAGUUACUACGCAAGAGGACUCUGGCAGGACUGCCGUUGACAAAACGGAGGAAGGUGGGGAUGACGUCAAAUCAUCAUGCCCUUUAUGACUUGGGCUACACACGUACUACAAUGGCGUUAAACAAAGAGAAGCAAGACCGCGAGGUGGAGCAAAACUCAGAAACAACGUCCCAGUUCGGACUGCAGGCUGCAACUCGCCUGCACGAAGUCGGAAUUGCUAGUAAUCGUGGAUCAGCAUGCCACGGUGAAUACGUUCCCGGGCCUUGUACACACCGCCCGUC
rnacentral:rRNA from 1 species